UGACCUCGGAUCAGGUAGGAAUACCCGCUGAACUUAAGCAUAUCAAUAAGCGGAGGAAAAGAAACCAACAGGGAUUGCCUCAGUAACGGCGAGUGAAGCGGCAACAGCUCAAAUUUGAAAUCUGGCCCUAGGCCCGAGUUGUAAUUUGCAGAGGAUGCUUUUGGUGAGGUGCCUUCCGAGUUCCCUGGAACGGGACGCCAUAGAGGGUGAGAGCCCCGUCUGGUUGGAUACCGAGCCUCUGUAAAGCUCCUUCGACGAGUCGAGUAGUUUGGGAAUGCUGCUCAAAAUGGGAGGUACAUGUCUUCUAAAGCUAAAUACCGGCCAGAGACCGAUAGCGCACAAGUAGAGUGAUCGAAAGAUGAAAAGCACUUUGAAAAGAGAGUUAAACAGCACGUGAAAUUGUUAAAAGGGAAGCGUUUAUGACCAGACUUGGGCCGGUUGAUCAUCCAGUGUUCUCACUGGUGCACUCUGCCGGUCUAGGCCAGCAUCAGUUCGUUGCGGGGGAUAAAGGCGUCGGGAAUGUGGCUCCUCGGAGUGUUAUAGCCCUUCGUGUAAUACCCUGUGGUGGACUGAGGUUCGCGCUCUGCAAGGAUGCUGGCGUAAUGGUCAUCAACGACCCGUCU
rnacentral:rRNA from 1 species